CCUACACUUGACAUCCUCGGAACUUUCUAGAGAUAGAUUGGUGCCUUCGGGAACCGAGUGACAGGUGCUGCAUGGCUGUCGCCAGCUCGUGUCGUGAGACGUUGGGUUAAGUCCAGUAACGAGCGCAACCCCUAUUCUUAUUUGCCAGCACUUCGGGUGGGAACUAUAAGGAGACCGCCGUGUAUAACACGGAGGAAGGCGGGGACGACGUCAAGUCAUCAUGGCCCUUACGGGUUGGGCUACACACGUGCUACAAUGGGAGAUACAGAUGGUUGCGAAAGCGCGAGCUGGAGCUAAUCCCAAAAAGUCUUCCUCAGUCCGGAUUGGAGUCUGCAACUCGACUCCAUGAAGCAGGAAUCGCUAGUAAUCGUGAAUC
rnacentral:rRNA from 1 species